rnacentral:lncRNA from 1 species
GAGAAAUUGAGUCAUUUUGAGUGACGUGAUGUGAGGGAGAUGUUUGAAAGCCAUAGAAUUACAUGACAUAGCAUUUCCCACCAUUUAGACGUGAUUUGGACUCAAAGUAUGCAAAAAGUUGCAAAACAGCGAAUUCUGAGUUUGUAGUUCUGCAAUCUUUGAGUAGUCAUAUCUUUUGCAUUACAACUCCAAAUCAAGAGAUUUUUGGACCUACUUGUAGCUUGAGAUGGCAUCUUUUGAGAGUGAUAGCUUAAGAAUGGUAGAAAAGUUUAGAGGUGACAACUUUCACCACUGGAAGGCCAA